CGAAACCAGGUGAUCUACCCAUGUCCAGGAUGAAGGUAAGGUAAUACUUACUGGAGGUCCGAACCCACGCACGUUGAAAAGUGCGGGGAUGAGGUGUGGGUAGCGGAGAAAUUCCAAUCGAACUUGGAGAUAGCUGGUUCUCUCCGAAAUAGCUUUAGGGCUAGCCUCGAGGUAAAGAGUCAUGGAGGUAGAGCACUGUUUGGACUAGGGGCCCUUCUCGGGUUACCGAAUUCAGAUAAACUCCGAAUGCCAUGUACUUAUACUCGGGAGUCAGACUGCGAGUGAUAAGAUCCGUAGUCGAAAGGGAAACAGCCCAGACCACCAGUUAAGGUCCCCAAAUAUAUGUUAAGUGGAAAAGGAUGUGGGGUUGCUUAGACAACCAGGAUGUUGGCUUAGAAGCAGCCACCAUUGAAAGAGUGCGUAAUAGCUCACUGGUCGAGUGACCCCGCGCCGAAAAUGUACCGGGGCUAAACAUAUUACCGAAACUGUGGAUGAACCUCUUCGGAGGUUCGUGGUAGGAGAGCGUUCUAAGGGCGGUGAAGUCAGACCGGAAGGACUGGUGGAGCGCUUAGAAGUGAGAAUGCCGGUAUGAGUAGCGAAAGAAGGGUGAGAAUCCCUUCCACCGAAUAUCUAAGGUUUCCUGAGGAAGGCUCGUCCGCUCAGGGUUAGUCGGGACCUAAGCCGAGGCCGAUAGGCGUAGGCGAUGGACAACAGGUAGAGAUUCCUGUACCAGUGCUAAUUGUUUAACCGAUGGGGUGACACAGAAGGAUAGGGAAUCGCACGAAUGGAAAUGUGCGUCCAAGCAGUGAGUGUGAGAAGUAGGCAAAUCCGCUUCUCGCGAAGCAUGAGCUGUGAUGGGGAAGGAAAUUAAGUACGGAAGUUCCUGAUUUCACGCUGUCAAGAAAAGCCUCUAGGAAGAGUAGUACUGCCCGUACCGCAAACCGACACAGGUAGAUGAGGAGAGAAUCCUAAGGUGAGCGAGAGAACUCUCGUUAAGGAACUCGGCAAAAUGACCCCGUAACUUCGGGAGAAGGGGUGCUCUAUUAGGGUGCAAGCCCGAGAGAGCCGCAGUGAAUAGGCCCAGGCGACUGUUUAGCAAAAACACAGGUCUCUGCAAAACCGUAAGGUGACGUAUAGGGGCUGACGCCUGCCCGGUGCUGGAAGGUUAAGAGGAGUGCUUAGCUUCGGCGAAGGUACGAAUUGAAGCCCCAGUAAACGGCGGCCGUAACUAUAACGGUCCUAAGGUAGCGAAAUUCCUUGUCGGGUAAGUUCCGACCCGCACGAAAGGCGCAACGAUCUGGGCACUGUCUCAACGAGAGACUCGGUGAAAUUAUAGUACCUGUGAAGAUGCAGGUUACCCGCGACAGGACGGAAAGACCCCGUGGAGCUUUACUGCAACCUGAUAUGGAAUGUUUGUACCGCUUGUACAGGAUAGGUAGGAGCCGAAGAGACGUGUGCGCUAGCAUACGAGGAGGCAAUGGUGGGAUACUACCCUGGCUGUAUGACCAUUCUAACCCGCCACGCUUAGCGCGUGGGGAGACAGUGUCAGGUGGGCAGUUUGACUGGGGCGGUCGCCUCCUAAAGAGUAACGGAGGCGCCCAAAGGUUCCCUCAGAAUGGAUGGAAAUCAUUCGCAGAGUGUAAAGGCACAAGGGAGCUUGACUGCGAGACUGACAAGUCGAGCAGGGACGAAAGUCGGGCUUAGUGAUCCGGUGGUUCCGCAUGGAAGGGCCAUCGCUCAACGGAUAAAAGCUACCCCGGGGAUAACAGGCUUAUCUCCCCCAAGAGUCCACAUCGACGGGGAGGUUUGGCACCUCGAUGUCGGCUCGUCGCAUCCUGGGGCUGUAGUCGGUCCCAAGGGUUGGGCUGUUCGCCCAUUAAAGCGGCACGCGAGCUGGGUUCAGAACGUCGUGAGACAGUUCGGUCCCUAUCCGUCGCGGGCGCAGGAAAUUUGAGAGGAGCUGUCCUUAGUACGAGAGGACCGGGAUGGACACACCGCUGGUGUACCAGUUGUUCCGCCAGGAGCAUCGCUGGGUAGCUAUGUGUGGCAGGGAUAAACGCUGAAAGCAUCUAAGCGUGAAGCCCCCCUCAAGAUGAGAUUUCCCAUUUCUUCGGAAAGUAAGAUCCCUGAAAGAUGAUCAGGUAGAUAGGUUUGGAGUGGAAGUGUAGCGAUACAUGGAGCGGACAAAUACUAAUCGAUCGAGGACUUAACCAAAA
rnacentral:rRNA from 1 species